UAGAUACCCUGGUAGUCCACGCCGUAAACGAUGAGCACUAGGUGUCGGGGUCGCAAGACUUCGGUGCCGCAGUUAACGCAUUAAGUGCUCCGCCUGGGGAGUACGCACGCAAGUGUAAAACUCAAAGGAAUUGACGGGGACCCGCACAAGCAGCGGAGCAUGUGGUUUAAUUCGAAGCAACGCGAAGAACCUUACCAGGACUUGACAUCCUCUUGACAGAUCCUUAAUCGGAUCCUUCUUCGGACAAGAG
rnacentral:rRNA from 1 species